rnacentral:rRNA from 1 species
UACGUAGGGAGCAAGCGUUGUCCGGAAUCAUUGGGCGUAAAGCGCGCGUAGGCGGCGCGGUAAGUCGGGUGUGAAAUCUCGGGGCUUAACUCCGAAACUGCAUUCGAUACUGCCGUGCUUGAGGACUGGAGAGGAGACUGGAAUUUACGGUGUAGCGGUGAAAUGCGUAGAUAUCGUAAGGAAGACCAGUGGCGAAGGCGGGUCUCUGGACAGUUCCUGACGCUGAGGCACGAAGGUCAGGGGAGCAAACGGG